rnacentral:rRNA from 1 species
CCGGCGACCGGCGCACGGGUGAGUAACACGUAUGAAACCUGCCCGUAGCAGGAGGAUAAGCGGAAGAAAUUCCGUCUAAUACCGCGUAACAACCCAUGGAGGCAUCUCUGUGGGUUUAAAGGAAGCGAUUCCGGCUACGGAUGGUCAUGCGUCGCAUUAGCUUGUUGGCGGGGUAACGGCCCACCAAGGCGACGAUGCGUAGGGGUUCUGAGAGGAAGGUCCCCCACACUGGUACUGAGACACGGACCAGACUCCUACGGGAGGCAGCAG